CCCCGCCAUCUCUCACUGCCCACUGAGGGGCCUCUAGUCUUCUUGUCCGAUGAAAUACAAAACGCCAACGAGAAAAGAGAUUCUUUCAAAGGUAAAAUGGCAAAUCCCAAAAGCGGAUAAAGGGGACAGAAGAUAACAGGAAUAUUCCCACAAUGAGACUGGGGAAGAACCAGUUGACGAAGUGGAAAUUUUUAUCGGAUGAGCCAUUGGGAGAACUCUGACGCAAAGAUUGAUCGAUCAAUUACACCACCAACUCUUGUCUAAAGGCUCGGAAGAUAUGUGCUUCAUCCGGGGAAUUGAAGUUACUCCUUCACCAUAAUUUGAUAAUUGGCAAAUAUAAAGAGUGAGAUUGAUAUACUCUUGGGACGUCAUACCAACGGUAGAUCUUCCCCAAUUCCGCGCCUAUAGAUGAGCCUUCAGCUCACGAGAGCCUGAAAAACCCUCAUCUAGUUUUCGAAUCAUAUGUUAGCUAACCGAACCUAAGCCCUCGCUCUAUAACUAAAAGCUUUAACGCACCUGAUUUUUGGUUUUUUAUUUAUAGGCCAGCACUUGGAAGCAAAUUACACUGAAGGAAACGAGACGAUUGACAGGUCAACUUUUGAUUAUUUCAAAUGCCCCAGUGGGGAGAGAAUGAAAACGCCUUAAUAUAAAAAUAAAACCUCUGCCGCCAGAUAUGAUUGUCUGGGCGGGACCCACCAAUUAUGCUUCCGGGCAAAGAUUCAAGGAAAAUUAAGCCAAC
rnacentral:sRNA from 1 species